UACAGAGGUCUCAAGCGUUGUUCGGAUUCAUUGGGCGUAAAGGGUGCGUAGGCGGCGCGGUAAGUCGGGUGUGAAAUCUCGGGGCUUAACUCCGAAACUGCAUUCGAUACUGCCGUGCUUGAGGACUGGAGAGGAGACUGGAAUUUACGGUGUAGCGGUGAAAUGCUUAGAUAUCGUAAGGAAGACCAGUGGCGAAGGCGGGUCUCUGGACAGUUACUGACACUGAGGCACGAAGGCCAGGGGAGCAAACGGG
rnacentral:rRNA from 1 species